CGUAUAUUAAAGUUGUUGCAGUUAAAAAGCUCGUAGUUGGAUUUGUGGCGUAUGGUGUGUUCCGGGCAUUUGUUGUCUGAGUAACCUGCUGUUGCCAUCCUUGGGUGGAACCUGUGUGGCAUUAGGUUGUCGUGCAGGGGAUGCCCAUCAUUUACUGUGAAAAAAUUAGAGUGUUCAAAGCAGGCUUAUGCCGUUGAAUAUAUUAGCAUGGAAUAAUGAGAUAGGACUUUUUUACUAUUUUGUUGGUUUGCGUAAAGAGGUAAUGAUUAAUAGGGACAGUUGGGGG
rnacentral:rRNA from 1 species